GGCCUCUCAAUUCUCACCACAGGCUCUAUUCUUUACACUGACUGUAUAGAAAGAGGAGGUACAAAAAAUGCACCCCAUAUACACCUCAACCCAGGCCCUUUGCCUGGUCUGUAUUGUGAAUAGGCCAAUAUUC